rnacentral:rRNA from 1 species
UACGAAGGGGGCUAGCGUUGUUCGGAAUCACUGGGCGUAAAGCGCACGUAGGCGGACUCUUAAGUCGGUGGUGAAAUCCUGGAGCUCAACUCCAGAACUGCCUUCGAUACUGGGAGUCUUGAGUUCGGGAGAGGUGAGUGGAACUGCGAGUGUAGAGGUGAAAUUCGUAGAUAUUCGCAAGAACACCAGUGGCGAAGGCGGCUCACUGGCCCGAUACUGACGCUGAGGUGCGAAAGCGUGGGGAGCAAACAGG